rnacentral:tRNA from 1 species
GCCUAGCUGGCUCAGUCAGUACAGCAUGAGACUGUUGAUCUCCAGGUCAUGAGUUCAGGCCCCAUGUUGGGUG